rnacentral:rRNA from 1 species
GAAACGCAGACUAGACGUAAACAUGAGCUAGAGGAGGAGGUGCAGCCGGCGUCAUGAGAGGCAGCCAGUGCCCUGCGCCGAUCGAGUGGUCGGUACCGACAGGUGCUGCUCGGCGACGUGUAGGAGAAGAAGGGCAAGGACCGGAGGCCGGUGGAGUAAGGCUAGCGGCUGUACCGGCGUGAGAAGCGGCCGGCGCCGCAGUCCACAUGGUAGGAGUGGUGCGGGCAGUUGCGGCGGUAGUAGGCGAGGCGGCAGCUGGCGCGGUUGCUGCGGAAGCGGCCGCGGCCAAGGGGCCGGUAGCUGUAGCGGCAGCACGGAAAGGGGCUGCAGCCCGAGGGCGGCCCGCAGCUCUUGCCGUGCCGGGAGUUCAGGGUCCUGCUGGCGCUGUUCAAGAUGGUGCGCCAGUCCGAAGAGGCCCUCGGGAAGCUGGCCAAGGACCGGUUGGUGGCGUGGCUGCGGCAGCAAAGGCUGUCGAAGAAGGUCACCAGGCAGCUGCGGCGGCGCCUCGCGCCGCAGGGCGCCUAGCGCAAGGAGCCGUCGUCGUACAAGCGCGCGCGGACGUCGCUAUCGUACGACGCCGUGUUGGGCGACCUCUUGCGGGGGCUGCUGGGGCUGCGGGAGCAAAACGACGGCCUCGACGGCGUGGCGCAGCUCGACUCCGCCUCGGUCUACUACCUGGGCGGCUUCUACGGCACCGUGACCCUCAAGAAAUUAUCGUACUUGCGGCGGCUGGUCUCCUCGAAGCCGCUCCACAAGUUGUCGAAGGUGCUGGAGCUCGGCCUGAUACAGCUCGUGAAGGUUUUCUGCGAGCCGGCCGCGCACACCGAGCAGCCCGGCCACCGCGAGCGGUCGUUCCUGUACCGACACUCUCCGUGGCUGCACGGGAGCGGCCUGCGCCCGUCGACAGAGGCCACCGACCUGCGGUUCGGCAGGCCGAGCCACCACAUGCAGAGGAAGCCGUGUGACUGGUUCAAGCGUGGGCGCCUCUACGUGGUCGAGCGGGCGCGGGAGCUGGAGAGGCCGCAAUUGAAGCACACCCACUAGCCGCGGCGGCGUCCGGUUCUGAGAAGCCUCACCUACGGGCUUCCGAAGCGGCUGGACUAGCGCUCGCCGCUGGCGCCGAAGUACCAGGCACCGACCCGCGGAGUCUACGACCAGGAUUCGGUGGGGCGGGAGCCGCCCAAGCACUGUGUGACGCCGACCUUGAGCCACGACCUCCGGCACUGGCGGCCGCACGGCUACCACUGCACCGGCGCCAUGCGCCUGGUCAAGUUGUUGCUCUUCGAGCACCACCUCGACGAGUUCCACCCGCAGUCGUAACCGCGGUUCCUGAUGCGCAGUCCGUAGGUCCGGGUGCUCCACUAGCGGCCGCUCCACUAGCGGCUCAGGUAAGUCUCCAACUACCUCCCGCUGCGGUAGGUCUUCUUCCGGUUCCUGGAGCCAGAUUUCCGUUCCUCGCGCCACCUCUUCCCUCCUAGGAGCAUGCUACUGCAACCGGCCGACUACCUGCACGACUGCCGGGCGGCCUCGAGGCAGUUCUAACCUCUUCUGUAGGUCCGGUCGACUAACCAUAACCAGGCUGCGUCACCGCCUCGAACCGACUGUAUUGUUCCCCAUUUAUCCGUUUAAUAUUUUCAUACCUCCACGGUUUACUCUUAUCAAAGAAGGUAGAUAUGUGUCGACACAAAGCCCGUCGAAACCGCAAGGAAAACCGACUAAUUCUAGUACCAAUUAUAAUAUCGGUUGUAAGCCGAAGCAGAGACGAUGCGGCUGUACAAGAGGCCACAGCUACCCUUCGGCCACCUCAGUACGUGUCCUCAAGAGCCCGGCCGUAACCAGUGGGCACGCCACCGGCGCCGCCGACCGCUCUCUAAACCACCGGGCCGUGAGCCCACCACCAAACACAACCGUCUAGACCACUAAGAGGGAGCUGAAGUAGCUAGCCUCCACGGCCUCGACCUCGGCUCCUAAACGUGCCCUGCAAGGAACCAGCUGCACGGUGUCGCCAAUGCGGAGUGGCAAGUGCUACCUCGAGUAGAAGCUGAGUCUUUCGGCAGAGACCGCUACCACACGGGAACCAAAUCCCGAACCACCAAAGGCCAAAGAAGGCAACGACAAGCCGAGCUGCCGCCGUCGCCGACCAGAACCGAGAAAGACGCAAUUCCGGGGGGCCCUGGCCUAACAUGAAAGAGAAAGAAACCCCCAGAAAAACGUAAAUACAACCGUGUGGACGCCAGAGCGCCGCUACAACGCAUACACGAUACAAACAUUGGAGACGACCAAUUCUUUAUACGUCGAUAGGAUUUUUGGGGCCGAUAUACCUCAACAGUACAGUGUAUAUCAGUUAGAUUAUCGGUUGUACAUAUCAUCGAUCAACGAUUCAUCGUGAUAAAACAAUUACGUACCAGGUGGCAUGUGAGAGUGUUACAAAGAACCUUGGGCA